rnacentral:lncRNA from 1 species
AAAAAUACUGAUUGAGAUGAAAAGACGCUAUAAACUUAUAUCUAUACCGCAGAAGAUUAGCUGAACACGACGGUGUAAAUCGAAAGUCAUCAAGAUGGAAGGUAUGUUAAUAGUCGUCAAAUUCGUUUUGGAAAAUACAAGUACAUUGAUAUAAAUUAUUUUCCUAUUUUUUGUGUGUUCUUCCUAGUUGUUCUUCUAUUUGGAUCGAACUAAUUAAUAUUGAUUUUUUGUGGAUUUCUUUGCACAUGUGCUUGCUUAGUAGAUGUUUGGGACAUGAAGCUCCUUAAUAAUUUACUCGAAAAUCAAAUUUCUAUUAAAGGUGUGUUAUCCGAUGGAGGGGACUGAGGAGUUUGAGUUCCAUAAAGAGUUCCAUUUCGAAAAAAAAUGUUUCCAGCUCAAAGCGCUUAAGUGAGUGUUAUCCUCCUGUAAGCUCAUACAUGCUAUGAUGACUAAACAGUCAGUCUCCAAGAAUAUAUGUUAUGUGAUCAAUGGUUGGUGGACACCCUCUUAGAUUUUGGACACUACUAUCUCUAAACGUUAUAUGUUUCCAAGCAAACAAUUGAACAUUAUUCGACGAGAAUCAUAGUUGUUUGGCAAUUAGUUUUUGGAUUUCGUUGACAGGUUGUGCUCUUGAUAAUGACGUCAAACUGCAUACAACUAUGGUGGGAUGCUUAACAUGGGAGAAGGAUUGAAUGAGAUUAAUGUACAUAUGAUAAUGAAUUGAUGGAGUAAAAUUGUUGAUCACAACUUUCAUGUGAUGUGUGUAGAUGUGUAUUCACCUUGUAGACAAUAAAAGAGAGAUCAUUGUAUAUUGAAUGUAUGUAGAAAACAAUGAGGUUAAGGUUAGGCCUGUAAUUGGUAAUAUAUUUUUCUACUUGCAUAUAUGAAAGAG